GAUGAACGCUGGCGGCGUGCCUAAUACAUGCAAGUCGAGCGAACGGACGAGAAGCUUGCUUCUCUGAUGUUAGCGGCGGACGGGUGAGUAACACGUGGAUAACCUACCUAUAAGACUGGGAUAACUUCGGGAAACCGGAGCUAAUACCGGAUGAUAUUUUGAACCGCAUGGUUCAAAAGUGAAAGACGGUCUUGCUGUCACUUAUAGAUGGAUCCGCGCUGCAUUAGCUAGUUGGUAAGGUAACGGCUUACCAAGGCAACGAUGCAUAGCCGACCUGAGAGGGUGAUCGGCCACACUGGAACUGAGACACGGUCCAGACUCCUACGGGAGGCAGCAGUAGGGAAUCUUCCGCAAUGGGCGAAAGCCUGACGGAGCAACGCCGCGUGAGUGAUGAAGGUCUUCGGAUCGAAAAACUCUGUUAUUAGGGAAGAACAUAUGUGUAAGUAACUGUGCACAUCUUGACGGUACCUAAUCAGAAAGCCACGGCUAACUACGUG
rnacentral:rRNA from 1 species